rnacentral:rRNA from 1 species
AGAGUUUGAUCCUGGCUCAGAUUGAACGCUGGCGGCAGGCUUAACACAUGCAAGUCGAGCGGAAACGAUGAUAGCUUGCUAUCAGGCGUCGAGCGGCGGACGGGUGAGUAAUACUUAGGAAUCUACCUAGUAGUGGGGGAUAGCACGGGGAAACUCGUAUUAAUACCGCAUACGACCUACGGGAGAAAGGGGGCAGUUUACUGCUCUCGCUAUUAGAUGAGCCUAAGUCGGAUUAGCUAGAUGGUGGGGUAAAGGCCUACCAUGGCGACGAUCUGUAGCUGGUCUGAGAGGAUGAUCAGCCACACCGGGACUGAGACACGGCCCGGACUCCUACGGGAGGCAGCAGUGGGGAAUAUUGGACAAUGGGGGAAACCCUGAUCCAGCCAUGCCGCGUGUGUGAAGAAGGCCUUUUGGUUGUAAAGCACUUUAAGCAGUGAAGAAGACUCCGUGGUUAAUACCCACGGACGAUGACAUUAGCUGCAGAAUAAGCACCGGCUAACUCUGUGCCAGCAGCCGCGGUAAUACAGAGGGUGCAAGCGUUAAUCGGAAUUACUGGGCGUAAAGGGAGCGUAGGUGGCUCGAUAAGUCAGAUGUGAAAUCCCCGGGCUCAACCUGGGAACUGCAUCUGAUACUGUUGAGCUAGAGUAUGUGAGAGGAAGGUAGAAUUCCAGGUGUAGCGGUGAAAUGCGUAGAGAUCUGGAGGAAUACCGAUGGCGAAGGCAGCCUUCUGGCAUAAUACUGACACUGAGGCUCGAAAGCGUGGGUAGCAAACAGGAUUAGAUACCCUGGUAGUCCACGCCGUAAACGAUGUCUACUAGUCGUUGGGUCCCUUGAGGACUUAGUGACGCAGCUAACGCAAUAAGUAGACCGCCUGGGGAGUACGGCCGCAAGGUUAAAACUCAAAUGAAUUGACGGGGGCCCGCACAAGCGGUGGAGCAUGUGGUUUAAUUCGAUGCAACGCGAAGAACCUUACCUGGUCUUGACAUAUCUAGAAUCCUGCAGAGAUGCGGGAGUGCCUUCGGGAAUUAGAAUACAGGUGCUGCAUGGCUGUCGUCAGCUCGUGUCGUGAGAUGUUGGGUUAAGUCCCGCAACGAGCGCAACCCUUGUCCUUAGUUACCAGCGGGUUAAGCCGGGAACUCUAAGGAUACUGCCAGUGACAAACUGGAGGAAGGCGGGGACGACGUCAAGUCAUCAUGGCCCUUACGACCAGGGCUACACACGUGCUACAAUGGUAGGUACAGAGGGCAGCUACACAGCGAUGUGAUGCGAAUCUCAAAAAGCCUAUCGUAGUCCAGAUUGGAGUCUGCAACUCGACUCCAUGAAGUAGGAAUCGCUAGUAAUCGCGGAUCAGAAUGCCGCGGUGAAUACGUUCCCGGGCCUUGUACACACCGCCCGUCACACCAUGGGAGUUGAUUGCACCAGAAGUGGAUAGCUUAACCUUCGGGGAGGCGUUCACCACGGUGUGGUUGAUGACUGGGGUGAAGUCGUAACAAGGUAGCCGUAGGGGAACCUGCGGCUGGAUCACCUCCUUAG